GACGAACCGUGCGAACGUUGUUCGGAAUCACUGGGCUUAAAGGGCGCGUAGGUGGUUUGCCAAGUCGGGGUUGAAAUCUUUCGGCUUAACCGGAAAAGUGGCUUCGAUACUGGCAAGCUGGAGGGAGGUAGGGGCGGAUGGAACUUCCGGUGGAGCGGUGAAAUGCGUUGAGAUCGGAAGGAACGCCCGUGGCGAAAGCGAGUCCCUGGACGUCGGCUGACGCUGAGACGCGAAAGCCAGGGGAGCGAACGGG
rnacentral:rRNA from 1 species